rnacentral:rRNA from 1 species
UAGCAUACAAUAAGCGGAGGAAAAGAAACCAACAGGGAUUGCCUCAGUAACGGCGAGUGAAGCGGCAACAGCUCAAAUUUGAAAUCUGGCCCUAGGCCCGAGUUGUAAUUUGCAGAGGAUGCUUUUGGCGAGGUGCCUUCCGAGUUCCCUGGAACGGGACGCCAUAGAGGGUGAGAGCCCCGUCUGGUCGGACACCGAGCCUCUGUAAAGCUCCUUCGACGAGUCGAGUAGUUUGGGAAUGCUGCUCUAAAUGGGAGGUAUAUGUCUUCUAAAGCUAAAUACCGGCCAGAGACCGAUAGCGCACAAGUAGAGUGAUCGAAAGAUGAAAAGCACUUUGAAAAGAGAGUUAAAUAGCACGUGAAAUUGUUGAAAGGGAAGCGUUUAUGACCAGACUUGGCCCGGUUGAUCAUCCAGCGUUCUCGCUGGUGCACUCUGCCGGUCCAGGCCAGCAUCAGUUCGUCGCGGGGGAUAAAGGUUUCGGGAAUGUGGCUCCUCCGGGAGUGUUAUAGCCCGUUGCGUAAUACCCUGCGGUGGACUGAGGUCCGCGCUUCUGCAAGGAUGCUGGCGUAAUGGUCAUCAACGACCCGUCUUGAAACACGGACCAAGGAGUCGUCUUCGUAUGCGAGUGUUCGGGUGUAAAACCCCUACGCGUAAUGAAAGUGAACGCAGGUGAGAGCUUCGGCGCAUCAUCGACCGAUCCUGAUGUUCUCGGAUGGAUUUGAGUAAGAGCAUACGGGGCCGGACCCGAAAGAAGGUGAACUAUGCCUGUAUAGGGUGAAGCCAGAGGAAACUCUGGUGGAGGCUCGCAGCGGUUCUGACGUGCAAAUCGAUCGUCAAAUAUGGGCAUGGGGGCGAAAGACUAAUCGACUCUAGCGGU